UAGGGAAUCUUCGGCAAUGGACGAAAGUCUGACCGAGCAACGCCGCGUGAGUGAAGAAGGUUUUCGGCUCGUAAAGCUCUGUUGUUAAAGAAGAACACGUAUGAGAGUAACUGUUCAUACGUUGACGGUAUUUAACCAGAAAGUCACGGCUAACUACGUGCCAG
rnacentral:rRNA from 1 species